GAUUUCCUACAUUUAUUCAAGGGAUAGGAACAUGCUAUUGUGAUCAGAAAGAAAAAUCAAACAAAAAGAAGAGGCCAAAGGAAAGGAUAUGGUCAGAAAAAAAAAUCAAACAAAAAGAAGAAGGGAGACAAAUUGGAGUGAUAUCCAACUAAUCAGAAGCUGGAUGUAGCUGAAGGACUUCUUGUUCUAAUUUAUCUGGCUGUGUCUUCACUGAGCGGAAGAAGAUAUGGUGGUUGAAGUUACAAGGACUCCUUGUUGUAACCAGGAGCCGAUCUUGAUCAAUGGAGCUACAUAAAGCAUGUUGAAAUGCAAAGAAAGAUAGAAGGAGCCUGUGGUACUGAAAACAUUGAGGAUUCUCUGAACCAGCCUUGGCUACCCCACCAUUUAACUUGAGAAAAAAUAUUUCUUUCCUCUUUAAGCUCUUCUUCUACCAAAUGUAUCAGGAAAUAAAAAUAUAUUAAAUUAAAACAAA
rnacentral:lncRNA from 1 species